rnacentral:tRNA from 1 species
GGGCUCGUAGCUCAGGGGUUAGAGCGGUCGGCUCAUAACCGAUUGGUCGUAGGUUCAAAUCCUGCCGAGCCCA